CAGCGGGAGAGAAGCAAAGAGCAGGGGAAGGGGGCUGGACGCCACGUUCGGGUCUGGCGCUCCGGAAAGGCGGCUCAGCGCCGCCCCGCGCCCAGACUCCCGCCAUCAGGGGAAGAAAUGCGCUCUGCUCGCAGCUGGCGCCAGCCGCACGCGAGGGGAGUUGGGGCCGGAGAUGUAGCCCUCUCUCGGCGCGGGGCUAGAGACGUCUCCCUCCGCAACGAGCGGGACUUGCCUGCGCGGGGGAGACGGCCCAGCCGCACAGCUGCCGGGCUCCGGGUUUCCCAGCCGCCGCCCUCCUCCUUGCUUACGCUCCUCUCGAGUAACAAGGCUCCUACGAAGAUGCUGCCGGAGACGGGCCAGCGCGGCGCGGGGAGGACCCCCGGGCUCCUGCUCUGCCUGCAGCUGCUGCUCCUGCUGCCUUCCUCGGCUGUGCUGGGAGAGAACACAGAGCGACCUACAUUCUCAGCCACUGGUGGACUCCACUCUGUUAUGGAAGACACAGUGUCUCCAGCUUUCAGUGCCACUGUUAUCAUCAUUGUCACCGUCAUCAUCUCCGGGAGUGCCUACUUGUGUUUCUUGAAAUACAUCUGCACUGGUUGCUGUAAAUCCACACAGGUGGUACCUGACAGGAGACUAGACCCAAGCAGAUCGGAAGAGCAAGUGUAACCCUAUCAUCAUUCAAUGGUCAAUGGCCCAGCCUGGAAGAACAAGAUUUACAUCGAUGAGUCAGAGAAAUGGUCCAUUCCUAAAAUGAUACAUAUUGGGAGACACCCUAAAAAGGAGAAAUGCCCUUUCUAGGGGACUCAGUCAAGACAAAAGACUUGUGAAGCUUUCUAUCAAUAACCUGGUGAUAUACAUAUGACUUUCCUCUGCUGAAUAAUGCAUUAAUACUCAGAGGCUGGCUACAUUCUACAUUGGGUCAAAAUACAAUGAGCCAAGCUCCUGGGGCCACUGGCUAGAAGGCCAUUUUUGUUCCCUUAAGAGGUGUUCAGAAGCUGGAAUGGAAGUGCAUUGCUUCUUCCUGUCUGGUAUUCUAGUUUUUGAAAGCUCCCCCUAGAGACCUCCCUCUUUAACAGCCACUGCAGUGAGGAAAAAUGGGCCUUGAUGCAAAUGGCGAGCUUGAUCAGUGCCAUUAAUGGAUGAGUUGCUGCUAUAAGUUAUCCUUUUGAGUCCGUAGUGGUUGAGGUGAAUGCAACCUCAUUCCUGUUUGGAGUAAAGUGAACCCUGCUCAGUUAGGACCACAGAUCCCUUACAUGUGUCUAUCACAUUUUUAUCCUGUUCAGGGAUAAACUUAAUGGCUCUUCUUCCCCAGUUCUUAUGUCCACACAACAAUUCUGUGAGGUAGGCUAGGCUGCGAGAUGGUUGGUGCAAGGUCACCCACUGUCAGACAUGGUGGAAUGGCGAGUCGAACCUUGGUCUCCCUCGUCCAACACUUGCAUGCACUUCAUCACACUUGCUCUUUCUUUCCAUGCGUAACAUCUAGACGCCCUCUACAGUUGAGGUCCUCUCAUUGUGUCCUCACGACAACCCUGUGAGGUAGGCUAGACUGAGAGAGAGAGUGACUGAGGCAAGGUCACUCAGUGGGCUUCAUGACUGGAUGGGGAUUUGAACCUGGGUCCCCCUCAGCGACACAUACCACAGUGUCACUCUACCCCUCGAUUUUGGUAACUUACAGAGCUCAGGCCUGGAUAGCAUCGUUUGCAUGAAUUGAGAGACUGCAUAUGUUAGGGGUGUGCAUUUUGAAUGUUGUUUUGUUUUGUUUUCAGCCAAAUCUGAAGCCCCCCCCCCGAAUUUGGAUAUGGUCUGAAAUGAAGCCCCCUGAAACCCCAAAUUUUCAGUUCUGAAGCCAACUUGCCCCGAAACCAAAUUACAGGCUGCCAGUCUCCCCACUGCUUCCCUCACUCCCUUCCACCCCAGUCCAUUCCCCGUUCCCUGUUGUUCUGUUCUCCUUCCCCAGUCCAUUCUCCUGUCUGUUCUCUCCCCGGCACUGGCCUCCUUCCUUUCCUCCCUGCCAUUUUUGCCCGCCUGCCUCCUCUGCCAGGGCCCGCCACCGCCACCUCCUCACCCCGCCAUGCGCCCAACACCCAUGAUGGCUGUGUGUCACCCUUGAGAUAAUUGUGCCCGCUGCCGCCACCCACACCAAGGAGCUCUUGGGCCAGCAAGCCAAGCUCCCAGUCCCUGUCCCUGCCGCUCCGGAAACUCCCUGCCGCAUCUGGCCCUGCUUUCGCCUGCCAAUCUGCAGGCCUGAAUUGCAGGGAAUUCAAACCGACGUCAGAAGAACUGAAGGGAGACUCUUGAGAGACUGCUUGCAAUUGCAAAACAGGUCCACCCCGCCCCACCCAAAAAAACCCAAAGCUUCGUUUCCGAAAUGAGGUCAUUUUGAUUCGUCUACAAAAAUCUUCAUUGUGGCAUUUUUCAUUUUUCAGUAGUUGUACAAAAUGUCCAAAUGUGCCAUUUUCGGACACAAAACGUUUUGUAACCAAAACAAAAUGCACAUCCCUAGCAUAUGUUAAAUGCAUCGGGGGGUGGGGUGUAGCUAUAAUUGAACAAGGGCGGAGGGACAAAUGUCCCUGAGGAGGAGGGGGGAGAUUGCCUGGGUGACAGCCUGCUCUUUGCUCUCCAUCUCAUGAUGCUCUGAACGAACGAACGAACAACAAAUAUUUAUAUACCCCUUUUCAACAAAAGUUUCCAAAGCGGUUUACACAGUGGAAACAAUAAUAAAGUAAUCAGAUGGCUCCCUGUUCCCAAAGGGCUCACAAUCUAAAAAAAGAGACAUAAGAUAGACACCAGCAACAGCCACUGGAGGGAUGCUGUGCUGGGGUUGGAUAGGGCCAGGUGCUCUCCCCCUGAUAAACAGAAGAGUAUCGCCAGUGCCACCAGCCCCACAAAUGAAAAGGAAGGUGGGGCCAGAGCCCAUCUUCACAUUUUGUCCCAGGGCCCACUCAAGCCCCUGGAAUCUAGCUAUUUAGCUAUCUAUUUAUUUGAUUUCUAUACUUCCCUUCCCAAAGUGGCUCAGGGUGGUUUACAGUAAAAUAAAAAAUACAUAACAAUUAAAAUCAGAUUACAAUUACAAUCAGAAGCCAAUUAAAAACAGAUUGCAAUCACAGCUAAAAUGAAAUAUCAUUAAAAGCCAGGCAAAACGUUGGGUCUUUAAGGCUCUCCCGAAGGCCUCCAAGGAAGACAUUCCUCUGAUACGCACGGGGAGCAUGUUACACAACCUAGGGGCCAAGAACAGAGAAGCCCCUAUCCCAGGUCGCCACCAGAUGAAUCGGUGGCAUCCAAAGAUGGACCCUUCCCCCGCGAUGAUCUUAUUGAGUGGUGGGGAUCUUGUAGAGAAAGGCACACUCUCAGGUAACUGGGACCUAAGCCAUUCAAGGCUUUAAAAGUAAUAACUAGCACCUUGUACUUUGCCCAGAAACAUAUCGGCAGCCAUUACAACUGUUUAAGAAGAGGCUUAACAUGGCAUAUGUUAUACCGAUGUUAUAAUCAGCUUACUCCAGCAUUGAGGAUCACCAAGGAGCGAGCAGCUGACGUCAGAGAUUCAUGGAGCAAAGGCAGAAAAUAAAGAUAAAAUGAAGAAGCAACAAAAAGCAUCAAGCCUCAGAGGAGACCACAAAAAGCACAUUCAGUCAAAACCACCUCCAUCUUCCACUUGAAUGGCUUAGAGGGCGAACCAGAACUUACUACCCUGGACAGUAAGGUAUAAUACCUCCUAUUCAGGAGUGUGAAACAUGCUGGAUUGAGCUGGAGACCCGUUGGGGGCUCACAUACUGGACACAAGAACUGCUGCAGUCUGGUCAUGUGGUGGCACUCCUGAUUUAUCACCACAUUUCCCACCAAUUGUAGUUUCCAGAAACGUUUCAAGGGCAGCCCCAAGUAGAGCAUGUCAACGUAGUCUAAUAGGAAAGUGAGCCAGGCAUGUUUACUUGGGUGAGCUCUGUCCAGAACAGGCUGCAAUUGGUGCACCAGCAAAACCUGGACAAGGGAGCACCCCUGGCCACAGCCACUACCUGUCUCUCCAGGAGCAAAGCUGGGGUCCAGGAGCACUACCAAAUGGCACACCUGCUCUCCUAGGGGGGAUGCUGCUCCUCCAAGAACCGGCUGGACAUUUCUCCCCAGAUAUUUAUUUAUCAUAUUUAUAUACCACUCAAUGGACCAAAGUCCUUGAAGCUGUUUACAACAAGAACAUUUAAGAACGUCUAAAAUGAUAAAAGCAAAAAUCAGCAUGCAACUUUAAAACAAUUAAAACAGCCAGCAAGCCGAUACAGAGCCAGUAGAAGUCAAGAGAAGUGGCCAUUACAGAUAUAAAGGCUGCUGAAAAGGAAGGCUUUCGCGUGGCACCUAAAUAAUUACAAAGAAGUCACCAGGGCGCUUUCCAGAUUAGCUGCUCAACAGCAGCAAAAUGCUUUAGUUCAGGCAAAACACAUUUGAAAUGUAAACAGCAGGGGGAGCAGUCUCACGGAAACUAACGACCCGAAAAAGCAGCAACCUUUUUACGCCGGAUACACGACGUCAUAGCCUUAUAUUGCAGUGAUUAAAUUCGAAACAAAGCAUCGGAAAUUUGAACAGCACCCUGCUGUCAGCAACUGCGGUGUCACAACACAGGAAGUGUGGAAGCAGACUUCCGAGAUCAGCUGUGACCCCGUUGCAGGGUGUAAUCUGGAAAGCGCCCAGGGAAGGUGACCCAAAGAUGAGGCGCCACCACUAAGAAGGCUCUCUCUCCAGUAGCCACCCAUCGCAUCAUUGUGGGUGGCGACACCCAGAGGCAAGCUUCUGAAGAUGAGCUUAAAAAAUGGGCAGGAACAUGUUGGAGAAGGCGUUCCAUCAGCUAGACUGGUCCUAAGCUGUUUAAUGCUUUCGAGAUCAGCACCAGAAGCAGACUGGCAACCAGUGCUAUUGAUGUAGCCCUGGUAUAAUACCGAUAGCUUCAAACCAGCCAGUCCCAAGAAGCAGCCUAGCGUGACUUUCCCUCUUGUUCAGUUUGUUUGCCCAAAGCAUCUUUCUCAGGGGCCAUUUCAAAACUUCAGUAACUUCCCUGAAAUCAGGAAGAGACAGAGUUGGGUGCUGACUACAUACUGAUCACAUUGCAUCCCUAAACUCUCUGUACAUCCCCCAAUUCUACUAGUUGGGGUGAGGCCAUAGCUCAGUGGUGGAGCAUCUGCUUUGCUUGCAGAAAGUCCCAGGUUCAAUCCCUGGCAGCAUCUCCAGGAGGGCGUAGGAAGGACUCCUGCCUGAAGCCAUGAAGAACUGCUGCCAGUCAGUGUAGAUAAUACUGAGCCAGGUAGCCCAGUGGUCUGACUUGAUAUAAAGACAGCUUCCUGUAUAAUCUUCCUGUGUAGUGGUUUCAUGGAGGCCUGCAGAGAUGAUGCUUUCUUGGAAGCCAGAGAUAAGACCUAAAUGUCUGGAAGAGAGUUUGAUCCUGGUUUUGCGAGAUGUUGAAAAGUAGGAGUUUGACAAAAGCCAGACUCUGUUCAGAUUCUGCUGUAGUCUCGGACCAACCUUCAUUUCUAUGUUUGGAUUGCUACUGACUGUGAUACUUGUUACAUUCCUGCCACUCCUUGUCAAUCUGUACAUUUGUAAAUAAACAUAUUUUCACAGACCAUUGCUCCCUCUUUCUCCUUUCAUGAGGGAUUUGGGCUUGCAAAGCUUGUCUGAAUUCUUAAGCAGUGCUUAAGAAAUAUACCACUGCUAAUGGGUUGCUGGGAUUCCAUGCUCAAAGCCUGUAACAAGUUCUAUAUGUACAAUAGUAAAACCUAUUAAUAGUGAAAUAGUGAAACAAGCAACGCAACAGAAGAAGCUGCCAUUUUUCACACAUGUAGCCCCAGUUUGCUCCUAAUACCUGAAAACUGAACAUUUUGGUAUCUGUCAAAACUCAAGAUGAUGGAUGCUUGCUUUGUAACAGAGGUAGUAAAAAUAGUAGAGCAGGUCUGCUCAACUUUGCACCACCACCACCCCGCUGUUUUUGGACUACAACUCCCAUAAUCCCCAGCCACAGUGGCCAAUAGCCAGGGAUUGUGGGAGUUGUAGGCCAACAUCUGCAGGAGGGCCGAAGUUGAGCGGUCCUGCUGUAGAGCCUGGCUAGAUGUGACACUCAUUGUGGAAGACCGGGUUCUGACUCUUGAGAAUUCUUCAGGCUUCCCCAGAGACAAACAAGAAAUGUUGGAGCGGAUGGUACAGCUAUCAGCCAUCUCUCUCUAUCCACUGUUUAUUCAUGCUUAUUUCUCCCUUAGUUGCUAAUAGGCCUGUGCAAAGUUGGAUUGGCAGUGUCAGGAUUGAUCCAACGUUGUUGCAACAUCAAUUUAAAAAGUGACCCAUAUUCUGAUCCAAUACCAGGUCCCCGUUUUGGCUCGGAAUUGCCAAAAUUCAUGUUGGAAUAUUGCAAUUCAUAUUGAAACCCGACUUAACAUUGGAUUGUUCCCCAUAGAGCCCAAUGGGGAAAUGUAAAGAAAUUCAGGAAAAAUAAAAGGGCUGGGCCUAGGACUUUGAAAUUUGGCACAGGAGAGGUACAGAUCGGCAGGACUCUGUGUAGAGAAUUUGAAGUGAAGCAGACAAUCUUGCAAUUUUUAGUGAUUUUUUUAAAAAUGAGGUUUUAUUGCGCAAGAGCACCAUUUGGUGAGAUUAGUUCAAAACCCCAUGCACCAGUUCAGCGUGAGAGUAGCCUAACAGAACUUCCCAACUAACUGCACCUGCGCAGCUGGGAAGAGAUAAUUUUUGAUGCCCUCCCCUUCCCCAAGAAGCCUUCUGAACCACCCAAAAAUGUGUCCCCGAGGGUUGCACAACCUUCACUGACAUAUUUUCAGGUGGUUUGGAGGGCUUCCUGGGGAAGGGGAGGGUGCCAAAAACUGCCACUUCCUUGCUGCACCAGUUGGGGAACUCUGUUAGGCUGGACAUGCCUGUAGGCUUCCAGUGGCAUCUGGUGAGCCACUGUGAAACAGGAUGCUGGACUAGAUGGGCCUCCUUGGGCGUGACCCAGCAGGAUUGUUCUUACAUUCUUAUGCUCUCUCACUGCACUGGUGCUUCCUUCUUCUGAAUGUCAGCCAUCGAGAUAAUUUCCAAAGUGAGCCUCCUCUGCUUCAAAAACAAACUUUCCGCCUUCACCGUAAAACCUUUGAAAUCCUGCUAAAGUCUUGGUUAUAUAGUAAUAACUCUCUCGCACACACAAAAGAGUAACUGCACACUGGGCCAAAGCUCAUUAGCUUUCAGCAGUUUUUCAAAUGCAGCCUCCAAGUUUACCUUCCCACCUCUUGUCUUGGAAUUGCAUAAAUGGGUCCCUUUGCUUCUAAAGAGGCCUGCUAGUGACAUUCACUUGGUGUUUGGCUCUUUCCCCAGGCUAUAAUUAUUUUCAUCAGCAGGUUAGGCUCCAUCCGUCUCUCUUAUUCAGAUCUAUCUAUGCGCAAUUAAUUCUUGCCUCCUUUGUGUGAUCAAACCACCCACCCCUUUUAAAACAGCAAUUUGCACCAUUGAACCGACAUGCUUAUUUUCUGUAGACACUUUGCUAGUUGAGUUUGUUCAGCGGGAGUUAAGUCGACCUUUGUAACCAUCCAAGAAGCUGCCUGCCUCAAAAGUGUCUCUCAAGGUUCUCCCCUUUUUUGAAAUGGACCAGGAGGUCAACCUUUCCAGCAGCCACUGCAGUUUGGGAUAAUGGAAGCUGUAAUCCAAAAACAGCCAGAAAGCCUCAGGUUGGCCACCUCAAAAUAGGUCAUCGAAAUAAAUUACGGUGUCGUCAGGUUUUCCAUCGGCUGUCCACUGCCCAGGAGGUUGAGGUGGCCUCAAAGUUUUCAGCUGGAGGAGUGUUUAUAGUUUAUGGUCAGGGCUUGUCCUAUUCACCAGUCCUGUCCUGGCGUUGCCGCUCAUCAGUGGCCAGUCCUCCCUUAAAUGUCCCCUGACAGCCCGGGCAGGUCUCACGAGAUCUCAUCAUUGAACGAGAUCUUGCAGAGAGAUCUGACAGAGCCUCUCUCAGGCCUGCGAAACGGCGCCGUUUAAUGGUGAGGCAGCAACUCCCUGCCGGGGCCAGUGUAAACGCCUCCAGGUGGGCGUUUUGUUGUCUCUUCCCCCCUGUUAGGCUCGUCCCCUCAAGACCCGGGCAGGGGAAGCUUCAUUAUGGAGCUUGCUGCAUUUCCCCACGGCAAUCAGCUCCACCUCAGGGGUUCUCCGUCAGGGGUAUAUGGAUAUUCAAGUGCAAUCGAUCUAUAUCUAAUUUCUUUUCCUGAACAUUUUGUUUUUACCAUUUUCAGUACAAUGCCAGACACACAAAAUAAAGAACCUUGGUUUACAUUGUGCACAGAGAUCCAUGAGUCCAAGGGCACAGCGCUUCUGUGCCACCGUGCUACAGUCCACUCAUGCACCUUUGGAAGGCAGGGGUGGAAAGCCGGUCUUGCAGUAGCAAUCAUGAAUUCUCCCCUUUGUUAAGCAGGGGUUGCCUUGGUUUGUAUUUGGAUGGGAGAUCACACGUGAACACUUUCUGAUGUAAGAUAUUCCCAUUAGGGCAGUGAUCUUUACUGUUUUUACAGCCAGGGCCACUUUGGCAAAGCAAAAAACAAUAUGAGUGCCAUUUCCCACUGUGUUGACCUCUGCAUGGUACUGCACUUUUCUCAGUGUGGGGAGGGCCCAUAAAGAGAGACAGAGCCCAAUCUUAAGAGCCCUAGAAGGAAAGCACUGGGAAGGGCUAAACGUCUAGACCUCUGUGCGCACCUCCCAAGGUGGUGCAGGGGCUCAAGGUGGCUUCAUUUCCCUCAAAGGAGAACCUCUCCCCACCAGCACUGCAUGUUGAGAACGGUCACCUCUGCAUGGUGCCAGGGGGACUGUGCAGAGUAUUCAGCUUCGGCUGAAGCUUCACACAGGCCCAAUAAACCAUUGUUCAAGGAGCCACUCUUAGAACUGAUGGUGGCCACCACUGGCCCCAAGGCCUUACAAUGAAGAAGACUGCCUUAAGGGAUAGGAACAUAGGAAGCUGCCAUAUAUGGAGUCAGACCAUUGGUCUAUCUAGUUCAGUAUUGUCUUCACAGACUGGCAGCAGCUUCUCCAAGGUUGCAGGCAGGAAUCUCUCUCAGCCCUAUCUUGGAGAAGCCAGGGAGGGAACUUGAAACCUUCUGCUCUUCCCAGAGCGGCUCCAUCCCCUUGAGGGGAAUAUCUUACAGUGCUGGCACAUCAAGUCUCCCAUCCAUAUGGAACCAGGGCAGACCCUGCUUAGCUAAGGGGACAAGUCAUGCUUGCUACCACAAGACCAGCUCUCCUCCCUAGGAUGAUGGUGUAUGGGCUAUAUAAGUUGAAUAUAGAAGUUAACUGCUUGACAUAAGUUUCACCAUAUUGUUUGAGUUUGUAAUAGGAAUUUGCUUACGCUGAAACAAUGCUCACCCCUGGUUUCCCACAGUUAGCAGAAUUCAUAUUUAGCAUGGGAACCGCAAGUGCUGAGGGAGCAAGAUAAAGACCAGACUGGCCUACUGCUUGCACAACUAAUUUAUGACCUAAUGCCAGACCCAUUUCCAGACGAAAGGGGAACUAACUAUGAGUUAUGACCUAUGACAUAUAACUGUUUCUUUUUCUGUAACUAUCUGUGACCGUUUUCUUAAGAAUGCUUUGGUGUAUAAAUGUGCUGCUUCUGUAUUAGGUCUUUGUCCUGCUUUGAGUGCGAGCCGAGCAGCACCUUUGCUACUUAAGGGCAAAUAAAACUUUGAUCUUAA